AAUAUUAAGUUGGGGUGCCACGAGCUGAGAUUAAACCCAUUGAACCUGAUAUAGUUAAAGCUAUCGCAGGAAACUUAUCCAAUUUAGAU
rnacentral:ncRNA from 2 species